rnacentral:lncRNA from 1 species
UUCUGUAUCUCUCUUAUGCAGUUUCAUUGUUUAAUACUAAAAGAUAUGCCUACACCAUCUGUGCCUGCUUGUAUUAGUUGCUUCUGUAAAUAUGAAAAAAAAUGCAAUAUCUUAGUGAUAAUACUGUAAAUAACCCCCUAAAGCAAUUUGGGACUCGGAAAUAUUGAUGUGCUUCACAUGUUUUCCCUAUAGUGAGUAGACAUGAACUCAAUAUUUUAGAGCACAAGGUUAAAGAAUCUAAGAACCUUUAUGAAUUCUCUCUCUUGCUUUGCUGGUUGUAGAAUUUGCUAUUAGUAACUCCAAAUGUUGAAUGUAAAAUUCACACUAAAUUCAUUCUAAUUACUCACGACAACAAGGCUUGGUCUGUAUAGAUGGGGUAUUGUAAAUGGUUGGAUGUGUGAAUAGUUCAACCAUACAUGAUAUUUUCGUUGAUGAUUUUGUUCUCUUUUAUUUGUCAUCUACAUGAUAUUGUAAGAAAUGUAUGGAGUGUAGUGGAAUAGUUUAAAGUUCCCACUUUUUGAGUGUAUUAAUUAAAGAGAUGUGUGGGGUACACUUGCCAAAAAGGAAAAUGGGUACUCAUUUCGUGGACGGACGAAAAAGGAAAUAUGGGUACUCAUUUCGUGGACGGAGGGAGUAUUUUGUUUGAUGAUUUUGUUCUCUUUUAUUUGUCAUCUACAUGAUAUUGUACUACAUAUUUUUUUCUAUGGAAAUCUAGAAAUUAUCCAUUUAUUUAAUUAAAGCUGGAUCUUUCAUAUUGGG